ACCCCUGAAAGAAAGAAAACAAAUGAGGUGAGCUCUAUGAUCACCCUGGCUUUUUGCCUAGGGUACUUUCCAGAAGCUAUUGGG